rnacentral:rRNA from 1 species
GAUGAACGCUAGCGGCAGGCCUAACACAUGCAAGUCGCGGGGUAACAUGGGGUGCUUGCACUCUGAUGACGACCGGCGCACGGGUGCGCAACGCGUAUAGAACCUACCCUGUACAGGGGGAUAGCCCGGAGAAAUCCGGAUUAAUACCCCGUAGUAAUAUAGAAUGGCAUCGUUUUAUAUUUAUAGCUUUCGGGCGGUACGGGAUGGCUAUGCGUCCUAUUAGUUAGAUGGUGAGGUAACGGCUCACCAUGGCAUCGAUAGGUAGGGGCCCUGAGAGGGGGAUCCCCCACACUGGUACUGAGACACGGACCAGACUCCUACGGGAGGCAGCAGUGAGGAAUAUUGGACAAUGGGCGGAAGCCUGAUCCAGCCAUGCCGCGUGCAGGAAGACGGCCCUAUGGGUUGUAAACUGCUUUUAUACGGGAAGAAUAAUCACGACGUGUCGUGGGAUGACGGUACCGUAAGAAUAAGGACCGGCUAACUCCGUGCCAGCAGCCGCGGUAAUACGGAGGGUCCGAGCGUUAUCCGGAAUUAUUGGGUUUAAAGGGUCCGCAGGCGGGCUUAUAAGUCAGGGGUGAAAUGGUGCGGCUCAACCGUAGCACUGCCCUUGAUACUGUUAGUC